ACGGGAGGCAGCAGUGGGGAAUAUUGGGCAAUGGGCGAAAGCCUGACCCAGCAACGCCGCGUGAGGGAAGAAGGUUUUCGGAUUGUAAACCUCUGUCCUCAGGGACGAAGGAAGUGACGGUACCUGAGGAGGAAGCCCCGGCUAACUACGUGCCAGCAGCCGCGGUAAUACGUAGGGGGCGAGCGUUGUCCGGAAUGACUGGGCGUAAAGGGCGUGUAGGCGGCUUUAUAAGUCUGGAGUGGAAGUCCUGCUUUCAAGGUGGGAAUUGCUUUGGAGACUGUAGAGCUUGAGUGCGGAAGAGGUAAGUGGAAUUCCCAGUGUAGCGGUGAAAUGCGUAGAGAUUGGGAAGAACACCAGUGGCGAAGGCGACUUACUGGGCCGUAACUGACGCUGAGGCGCGAAAGCGUGGGGAGCGAACAGGAUUAGAUACCCUGGUA
rnacentral:rRNA from 1 species